rnacentral:lncRNA from 1 species
GAGUAUUCCUUAAACCUUUACUUUACCUUACAUCAAAUUUACAUUUGAAUUUUAACUUUUAUGUAUUUUGAGUAUUUGACUAAUGUUGCUAACAUCAUUGAGGGAUCAACUCAUCAACAUUUCCAGCUUUUAAGUAAAAUAUCUUCGUCCAUGGGACUUAUUAACUUUUCAAUUCAUCUUAUUUCUUUCUUAAGAUUUAGAACACAAGCUUCUUGAAUAUAUAGGUUUUUGUUACUUCUAAGGGGGAAAAAUGUUUUUACGUUAUACUUCUCCUUUGCUUUUUGAUGAAUCUUGGGUGAACCUGAAAUCUUAUUUCUUUCUUAAGAUUUAAAACACAAGCUAAUUGUAGAUUUUUUUUUUCUUUUUUUGAAACUAGCUUAUUGUAGAUCUUUUUUUUUUUUGGAACAACUUUGUAGAUCUUACUCUUAGAAACACUAGAAACUGAAAGUCAAGUCUAUGCGAUGCCGCGUUCCAAAUGAUUCAACAUUUUGAUACAUUAAACAUAUGAGUGCUGGUUAGGGAUAUUGUGAUCAGUUGAUUCAUUGAGUCCGAAACCGACUUAACAAUGUUUUGAUUAUCAUUUGGGGCGCAGAAGGAGCUGCCAAACAUCAAACAACAUCGAAUUUUUGGGUUGAGAUUGGUCGUUUGGUUCUGGCAGAUUAACUUUUAUAUUGGCCGUAGCUUUUUUAGUCGAGUACAAACUGAUUCAUGAGAUUUUGGUCCACAAAAACAUCUCUAGUCUAAUCAAAGAAGAAUGCCCACUAAUCAUAGAACAUAGGAAAAUUUUCAAGCCAUGUGAUAUUGAGUUGAGAGUACAAACUAUAAUUUGUUAACAAGCAAUAAUGGUCCAAAU